ACAAGCAUUGACAGAGGAGCAGUUCAAGAUAUUUUAUAAUUUUUUGUAAUGUCAAUGUAAAAACUAUUACUUUGGGCAUUCAGAAAGGUGAAGCUUCUAGCUGUAUGUAAUUUGGAGUGGGCAAUUUAUGCAGAUGAUGUGGCAUGGAGUCCUACACCAUGUCCGCAACCAACAUUCAUGGGCAACUGGAUGCUGUGAACAUGAGCCUCUGGAUGAAGGAAGCCAAAACAAGGCAUGGAUCCAGCAAGGUUCAGCAGGCACUUACAGCAAUUGUGCUUGACAAGCGCUGGUUGAGCCAGGUGAAGAAGUUCAUAAACUUUAGACAGGACCACAUCUGAUUUGGAAAGUUUCCAAAAUCAUAUACUAAUGUAUGCGGCAAAGCGCUUCGCCUACAGCCCACCUGUAUACAAGACGCGAGUUUUGCUUGCCGCCUUAGAUUACAAUAACCACAAUCAUCGCCUGCCAGCCCGUAACAGGGAUGGAGACAAAAUAUAUAGAAGAUACUUCAACAAAAAAUCAAAAAUCUGGAGUGUCUACAACACAAAGGAAAAGAAGCAGUAUAGCUACAUACAAGACCUUCAGAAGGCCAUUCUGGGGAGAAGAAUUCGAAGUGGGAGAGGCCUUCCCCGCAAACAGACGCUCAAGUCCGAUGACCCAAGGCGCAUGGGUUUGCUUGCUGCUGUACCACCACCACCCACUGCAGAACUUUUGCAGGACCACAUUGAAAGAGGAGACAUUCCUCCACAGUGACUGUUGUACUGUAAGCUGGUUCUUGUAAAUAUUUGUAAUAAAUGAUGGAUAAUAUUGAACUUUUUUCAUAAAAAUUAUUUAUUUGCAUGCAAAAACAAAAUAAGUUAAAAUAAAUAUAAGUAAAGUGCACAAAUGCUGAGGUAACAG